GUCAGUAACCCAGCCCUAAAGGGACUGGGCUUGCAAGAGUAAUCAAGCAAGCCGUACUGACCAGACCACCCUGAGUUUACUCUCAUGGUAGCCGUUAUUUGAGUCACGACACCCCGGAAUGCGAAGCUAGUUCCCUGCUCUGUC
rnacentral:sRNA from 25 species